CUUUCUCUCUUCGCCUGCUGCCGUCCAUGUAAGAUGGGACUUGCUCCUCCUUGCCUUCCACCAUGAUUGUGAGGCUUCCUCAGCCACGUGGAACUAUGCCCUGACCUUCCGGGAAACCCUCGGUGAGAGGCCCACAGCCUCGCUUCUAGGGUCACCACUGCUUCUUCCAGUCUAGCCAAACAGCUCCUAGUACAGCUCAGAGCACCCUGCAAGGAGGGCACGUGUUAAAUCGAGGAGCACACAUGCUCCACGAGGAAUUCUUUGCUUUGAGGCCAUGCACAGAGGUGGGUUCACUAUGAAGCUUGUGAAAUAAGCUUCAGGGCCCGCAUUUGCAUGGGCCACAGAGAGUCUGGGAGCUGCAGAAGGUUCAAGGGAAGAGGAGCCAUCACAAGCAGAAUAUUCUAGAAGGCAUUUCUGGCAAAUGGCCCAAAGAGGCCUCAGGAGAAAAGAACUUGAGUCUUCAAGGAUGCAAUGAGAAGGCACCAUCUGUGAGGAACAGGCCUCCGACAGACACCGAAUUUGCUGGCACUUUGAUCUUGGACUUCCCAGCCUCCAAAAUUAUCCAUAAUGGAUUCCUGGGACAUUUUCAGAUCUCCUUCCAGCUUCCUCUUCGCCCUUUCCAAGUCCGCCCGCAGUUUCUUCUCCUGCUCUAAGGAACCCUCAAGCUGAGAAGACACACAGAGACAAGGGCUUGCUCUGUUGCCCAAGCUAAAGUGCAGUGGUGUGAGUGUAGCCCACUGCAUCCUCACACUCCUGUGCUCAAGUGAUCCUCCCACCUCAGCCUCCCAAGUAGCUGGAACUACAAGGUAUGUGCCACCAUGACUGGCUUCUUUUUUGGUGUGUGUACAGAUGGGGCCUCCAUGUGUUUCCCAGCUUGUCUCAAACUUUGAGCCUCAAGUGAUCCUCCUGCCUCAGCCUCCCAAAGUGCUGGGACUACAAGUGUGAGCCACCAUGCCUGGCCUCACUUAUAAUAAUUUCAAACAGAGGAGUUUGUGAAAUUACAAGUUCAUUUUAAAGAAUGAAGCCUCUAGAAAUUUGCCACAUUUGAACAGCUGGUUAUCUCACUCUUCCUGCUACCACCAGUUGGAAAAUGACUCAUCUACUCUAUGUUAUCUCAAGC
rnacentral:lncRNA from 1 species